rnacentral:rRNA from 1 species
AGCGAACGCUGGCGGUAGGCCUAACACAUGCAAGUCGAACGGCAGCACAGUAAGAGCUUGCUCUUACGGGUGGCGAGUGGCGGACGGGUGAGGUAUACAUCGGAAUCUACUCUUUCGUGGGGGAUAACGUAGGGAAACGUACGCUAAUACCGCAUACGACCUACGGGUGAAAGCAGGGGAUCUUCGGACCUUUUGCGAUUGAAUGAGCCGAUGUCGGAUUAGCUAGUUGGCGGGGUAAAGGCCCACGAAGGCGACGAUCCGUAGCUGGUCUGAGAGGAUGAUCGGCCACACUGGAACUGAGACACGGUCCAGACUCCUGCGGGAGGCAGCAGUGGGGAAUAUUGGGCAAUGGGCGGAAGCCUGAUACAGCCAUACCGCGUAGGUGCAGAAGGCCUUCGGGUUGUAAAGCCCUUUUGUUGGGAGAGAAAAGCAGCAGGUUAAUACCCCGCUGUUCUGACGGUACCCAAAGAAUAAGCACCGGCUAACUUCGUG